UGCUCCUCGGCAUCUUCUAACUGCAGAGGAUAUACGAAAUAUCUCCAAGUGGUCCUCUCGAAGAUCACCUCACUAAGGUUGAGGCAAGAAGAUUGUGGCUCUCCUUCUCUGAAGCAGACCAGGGAGAGACUCACAGCGAGGCAGACGCGCUCCUCAGAGACAGCGCCUUUCCAGUUCUUUCUAUGGGAACUCGUGUUUAUCCUUGAUCUGACUGAGGGGUUGAAGACACCUGGAUUAGCUUCUCAGGAUCAUUUUCUUUACAAAUCUGCAUAUGGGAGCAUUUGCGGGGGCGAAUUCUGUCUCAGGCUCACUUUGGUAUCCUGACACGCGGUAUUUCCCAGCCUCCUUUGCGGUUAGAUGCGUCCACGUGACUGGGGUCUGACUGAUGGAGUGAGAUGUUUGCUGCUGUCAGGCCUGGUCCAUGAAUACCCUCCUGGCACCUUCUUCCAUGCUCGUUCUCCUUCCACUGGCUUGAUGCUGAUGAUUCUGGAAGCCUUGGAAGCUACACGCCAAAGAGAGAAGGAGCCUGUGCCCUGAGUCAGUGCUUGGAGGGGAGCCUGCCACCAGUCAGCCAUGGAAGAAAAGUCGUUUUUCCCAGAGGACCGAAAAUCUGGUUUAGUGGUUGCCUCCUGCCUUUAAAGCCCAGGAAGAGCUAUAUAUUCCCAUGUCUAGCUUGGAGAUGCCAAUUUAGUUACCAGGAGAUCUAGCCUGGAAGCUGCUCGAACCGUACUCAGUGUCAUAUCUCUGCCAUUGAAGAGAUGGGGCCACAUCCUUUCCACAUCCAUAUGUUUCCAUAGACUGUGUUUUCAUGGUUUUGGCCAAUGGGUACUAAAGGCCUUGGAGCGUCCAUGCUGAAGGGAGAGUUUUCACCAAUGAAAUGAUUCAAGCAGCUGUCAAGGUAUUCUGAACACAGAGAACAAAUGUCAUAGGAGCCUUGAACUCAAUGUGCCCAUGCUGUCCCUACUAGUUGUUGACAGUGUGUCCAGAGAGAUCAAAGGGGCCUUCCUGGAUCUUGUGGACUGGGACCAAACAGCUAAAUUAGUCCCACACUUAACAGAAACAUUUUCCAAGCCAAAAAUCAGCAAGUAGGUCUGACAGAAUAAGGAGGACAAAGAUAUUUAACAUAGAUGAUGACAAUGACAAAGAUGAUGAUGAUGGCAAUGGCAGUUAAUACUUUCAGGGCGCUGUUCUUUACGUCCAUUGUUUAUUCAAUCCUCACAGCAAUCCUGGAUGAUAAAUAUGUAAAUAAUCAGCUAAUGAAAUGAGUCAUGAGAAACAGAAUAAACUUUUUUUGCGUCAAGAAUAAACACAGCUUCUCCCUUACAUUCCCUUCUUAUGCAGUGAAGAGAAUUGGAGGCAAGUGAGGACUCUCAUAUUCGUAUAUUGCAGAUAGAAAGCUGAAGCACAGAGAAAUCAAGUCGCUUGUCCAAAGUUCCACUGAAUAUUUAAUAUUGGAGUUUAAAUUAGGGGACAUAUUUGAGAUUGGAGACACGAAGAGGAUAUGAUAGCAACAGUUAUCAUUUGCAUACAUUAUCUCUAAUCCUCAUUAUAAUCCUGUGAGUCUCUUUCAGGAGUGAGAAAUGAAUGACAAUAACAGAAAUUGAGAGCAAGUAUUAAUUCAAGCCACUAUCCGUCAUGUUCAUUUCAGACUCCUGUUCAUUCCGACUCAGAUUCAGACUCAUUUACAAGUCCAUUAUCCCAGACAAUGAUGCACCUUUUGGACUCAAGGCCAUGGUGAUGAUUAGGUGAACAAGUUUCAUCAUAUCCUUCUACAUCUGUGGGAUUUCGCAAUAAGAAGUAAUUUUUUCCUGCUGAUAAUCUCCAUGGCUACAAGAUUUAGAGUUUCAUCCUAACUCAUUAAAGAUUCUGUUACAUUUAUGAUUCAGUAUUACAAAUGCAGGACAGUAUUUUAGCACGAUUUGUAAGCAUAUUCAAUUACAGAGACUGAAAAACACUAGAAAAGGCUUUUAGUUUGUUUUCUAAUUGCAUCCUUCUUGGAGAAGUUGUUGCAAAUAAGAAAAGACAAAGCAAAAAGGAAAAUAAAAUUUUUCAGUAAUGCUUCUCAGAGAUAAGCAUUUCCAAAUCUCUGAUAUAAAUAUACACAUAUAUUUAUUUAAUAGGUAGAAGAAAUGCUAUUAAAAAUAAAAAACUAAACUACAGCUGCUCCUGCCUUCUAGAAUAAUGGUAGAAUUCUGGUGGAGGAUUCUUCUGGUUUAUUUGCGGGCAAGGAGGAGGAAAAGCACUUGAUGCACCCUUUUGGUGACAGUAGGCAAGGUUGUCACCACGUGCCACCAACACAACUGCACGCAGAGCAAUUUGAACGGGCAAGUGCAGGAUACGGGAUGAGCUGUUUUUCCCUGCAGUGAAAGUAACAGGAAAUUCAGUAGCUCAAGAUCUCAGGGAGACCUAGCAACAUAGUGGGAGGCUGGGGGGCCGCAGAGAGACAGCCAGCGGCAAACUGAAGAGAAAUGCAAGACGGACGUUUCCUAGAUUUCUAGGAAUGGUAAUAUCUCCCUUUGAACUGUGCUAUUCUUUUGUUGUUUCCUAUAUUUUAUCUAUUAGUUCUUCACCAACCCAACUUCCUACCAAACUUUCAAUAAAAUUCCAUUAUACACAAAGCUUUGUGUAGGUGAUCCUUUGGAUGAAAUGUAUGUAGAAUGCAUUAAAAAAUCAAAGUCAUAUUGUACAUAUAGAAUAUUGAAUCUAAUGUUUUUCACUUCUUAUAUCAUAGGCUUUUUUCCAUGUGAUUUAUUGAAAAUGCUUUUUAAUUGUUGCAUAGAAAUUUUUCCUAUGGAAGUGCUAACCUUUAAAUAAUAAAUCCCUUGGUUUGGGGAUAUAUUUUGAUAUGGAAAUGAAUAUUGUUAUGCAUUUAUCUUUGUUUACGAUUCUGACUAUUUUCUUAACAACAAAUGUCCGAAGGUAGGGGCCGGCCCGGUGGCGCAGCAGUUAAGUUCGCACAUUCUGCUUCUCGGCUGCCCAGGGUUCACCAGUUCGGAUCCCGGGUGCUGACAUGGCACAGGGUGUGGACAUGGCACCGCUUGGCACACCAUGAUGGGGCGACGUCUCUCCUCUUCCUGGCUGAAGUGGCAUUGUGUACUCACACAACCAAAGAAGAAGCAGAAAAGAGCUAUUCUUCAUCACUUAACCCUUUUUAAUCAGGAUGAAAAAACUUUCCCCAGUGUCCGGAAGUCCAGAAGCCAACUUCCCCCAACCCUGAUUGCCCAGGGUUUCAUAUCACACUCAUGGUUAAACCAAUCACUGAUGAACAGCGUUAUUGCAAUUCUAGAUUAACUAGAACGAUUGGCAUUCACUCCCCGAGGCUGGGGAGAGACGUCUACUCUGAGCACUUGUGAGCGGGAAAGAAGAGGCGGCUAUUUCCAUAGACAGCAAAACGUGAUGAUAUAAUCAAGCACUGCAGGAAGUUUAUAUUUUAACGUAAAACUGGAAUCCUCCUUUGUAAAUUAACCCUGUUUUCUUAUAACUGGAAUUGACCUCUAUGAGAUAACAGAAAAUAUAUAUUGGUCUCUGCCUCUGCUUCCUGGCACAGGGCUCCUAAAAUCCCUGUAACUUCCUAAAUGAUAAGAACACUGGGAGCACCCCUUGUUCUAAUAUUUGUCUUUGACCCCAUCCCCGAUACAGGGUCUUAAAUCCUUUUAAAUUCCUAAGUGAUAAGAGCACUAGGAGCAUCUUUUGUUCCCACGAGGUGACUCUGGAUGGCUCCUGGAUGGGGCCUGGUCACCAGAAAGACCAAGCCGUUAUUAGAAGCUUGGAAUUUUCAGUCCCCACCCCGUUCUCCAGAGGGCAGUGAGGGUUAGAAACAGAGUUAAUAAUUGAUGAUGCCUGUGUGAUGAAGCCUCCAUGGAAUCUCGAUAGUAGGGCUUUCAGAGAGCUUCCAGGCUGGCAAACACACCCACUUGUUGGGAGGGUGACACAUCCCAACUCCACUAGGAUAGAAACUCCUGUGCUUGGGAUCGUCCCCAACCUCGCCCUGUGUAUCUCUUCAUCUGGCUGUUCAUCUGUAUCUUUUGCCACAUCCUUUAAUAAAGUGGCAAAGACUCAUAAGCAGCAGACUCCUACCCAGCUGUGGUAAGUUGAGCUCCUAUACCCUGAGGAGCAGCGUGUAAACACUGAUGGAGGUAGAAAGAGGUGAACAUUGAGUGGUGACAAAGAUGGCGGAGGACAAGCAGAACAGGAGCUGUGCUCUUCAUGCAGGUGCUUGGAGAAAACAAGUCAUGUCCCCAACCUCAAAGUGGCAUUGCUGUCAGGGAAGAAGCCUGUGCAAUGAGUGGGACGGGCUGAUGGAAUCUCUUAGAGGACCCUGCAAAGCUUGGGUUCUGCUGGAUCCACUGCCUCAUUUCAUUCUGGUCUCUGCUCAUCGUCACCUCCACAGAGAGCCCACUCCUGACAUGCCAUCUCCAACACCUCCCCUUAGUCUCCCAGCCCUUGCUCUGCUGCAGAUUUUCCUUACUUCCUUUUAUCUCUGCCUGAAUUAUAUUAUCUAUUGGUGUGUUUUUUAUUUGUUUAUGGUCUGUCUCCCUGCACUAGAAUGUAAGCCCGGUGAGGACAGGUGCUCUGUUUCUAGGAUGCACCUCUGUUUCCCCAUAGACACUCAAUUCCAUUUGUUAUCGAGUGGACGAUUAUGUGAAUUCCAUAUCUUGGGCUUCUCCUGAAAAGAUCUAAAGCUCUACAACUCUGCUUUUCAGAAAAGAUUUGGAACAGAUCAUGGUCUAUGGAGUUUUUUUCUUCUUUGCUAAAUUAAGCUAAAAAUGACUUUUCCUCCCAGGAUUAAGUUCACGCCAUGCCUCUAUGUUCACCACUAACGGGGAGACAGAAAUCCUUAGUACCUGUGAGGGUAAUUUUGACUUACAUUUGUAAAUUUCCUAAGGAAAUUGCCUGAUAUUCUCAGACACCGUAAAGCCUCACUUAGUAGCUUUCAUGAAUUUGUAAUGGUAUGGGCAGAAUUUGGCUUGAAGUAUAUUUUCUCUUUUGUUUUCUGAAAUAAGGUUUUGCCGUGUCAAGUAAUAGUCUGAACAAGAUUGCAUGGGAACUGCUAAACUGAUUAACAAAAUAAUUUCUUAUCCAAGUUUUUCUAGAGUAUUCAGCCACACGAAUACACCCGUGCUCCAAUGGUUUUAAUGACUCAUCUCUAUUGAAUGGAACAGGUGAAAUAGAACCUUGAAUUCAAAUGCUAACUUUGGGUCUCGUUUGAACCUUACAACAAACGAUAAAAUUUUGCAGAGACCAGGACACAAAAUUUGUGUACUCCAUUUUUGGCAACAAACAUUAAGAAACAAUUAAUAAAAUAGAUGCGUUCAAAGAAAGUCCCCUUGAUAGUUGAGCCCUAGGUUGUGCCUCGAAAUUCCUGUUUUUUUCAUUUGCUCAUCUAGAAGGUGAUAAUGCCACCAUUGUUAGGCAACCGCAUCUAGUUCCUAAGCCAGUCCUGACUAGGGCCAGAGGCAUAUUAGCAUCAUUGUUCCCACCAGUAAAACAUAAUUAAAAUAAUAAUACUUGCCGUUUCCUGAAUGCUUACUACAUGCCACAUAGUAUGAACUUAAAUAGGAUUUCCUUUAGUCUUCUUGAUCAAGCCCAUGAGUUAGGCAUUGUGUCAUUUUACAAAUGGGGAAACUGAGGCUCAAAGAAGUUAAUUAAUUUAUGCCCCAAAGUCCCACAGCUAGUAAGCAGCAAAGCCAGGAUUUAGAACCAAUGCUUUUAACCCUCAAGUCACUGCUCUUAUCCAGCGCACCAACGACAGAUGGCCUUUGGUGCCGUACACUCAGCCUCGGUGCACUGAAUAAGUCCCGUGUGCCCUGCCAUCCUCCAAGGCUCUUCCCUCCAGCACUCCUGUGGCUGUUGCAGUCCACAGGGCUGGAGCUCUGCCUUGGUUUCUCUUCCUAGCCCUCUAGUUAUUUCCAGUAACAGCCUACUGUUCCUGGCCCAAUGUAUGACUGAUAUUUGGCAUGUUCUCCUUCGUAUGGCAACUCCCAGGGACAUACUCCAGCCCACUGAUGAGAACUCUUUGAUUCUCUUGCCUGUCAGAAUCACAUCUGAGCUUGCUCAGUCCUUUAAUAUUGCUUUUCAUCGCCUUCUCCAGGCUCUAUAGACAACAUAGUUUUCCCUAGUCCCAUCCUAAUGACCAUGGC
rnacentral:lncRNA from 1 species